AAAAACACCAAAAUGUGUUGCUAAACCAGGGGAGGAAGCCCCUCCCUCCAAGGGCAGUUGGAGAUAUGAUAGAGCACUUGCCAGGCAUGCGUACCCUGCUUCAAAACCAGCACCAGGGCCUUGGGGGCAGGGGUUGAAGAGGUUCAACUAUGAAGGUGUAAAGCCUUCACCCACAAAAAGAGGUGCCAAAGGCGGUGCUAAAAGACAAGGAUGACUUCGCAUUUAGAGAUGGUGACACUCUUGGGACGUACAUAGACUAAAACUAAUGACUGCUGAAGCUGCCGUCGAUGCAGUUC
rnacentral:lncRNA from 1 species